rnacentral:rRNA from 1 species
UAGGGAAUCUUCGGCAAUGGACGAAAGUCUGACCGAGCAACGCCGCGUGAGUGAAGAAGGUUUUCGGAUCGUAAAACUCUAGUUGUUAGAGAAGAACAAGGGUGAGAGUAACUGUUCACCCCUUGACGGUAUCUAACCAGAAAGCCACGGCUAACUACGUGCCAG